rnacentral:lncRNA from 11 species
GAGCUCUCCUGAGAUAACCAGGAUCCUUCUGGUUGGUGAUGUCUCCAGAGGUUCCGAUAAUUCUCUUUUUAUUAUGUAUUUAUCAUAAUUUUACACCUAGUGAUGCUCUCAAGUGUCGAGUUUGCUGGGAGUCUUGUAGAUCUGUUGAAUCAAGUUUGGAAUGUGAAGCAGUUGCUGGAAAAGAAGUUUGCCUUGCUGUAAAAGCCACUGGUAACAA